GGACCCACCUGAUUCCAUCCCGAACUCAGAAGUGAAACGAAGUAGCGCCGAUGGUAGUGUGGGGUUUCCCCAUGUGAGAGUAGGACAUCGCCAGGC
rnacentral:rRNA from 2 species